rnacentral:rRNA from 1 species
UACGUAGGUCCCGAGCGUUGUCCGGAUUUAUUGGGCGUAAAGCGAGCGCAGGUGGUUUAUUAAGUCUGGUGUAAAAGGCAGUGGCUCAACCAUUGUAUGCAUUGGAAACCGGUAGACUUGAGUGCAGGAGAGGAGAGUGGAAUUCCAUGUGUAGCGGUGAAAUGCGUAGAUAUAUGGAGGAACACCGGUGGCGAAAGCGGCUCUCUGGCCUGUAACUGACACUGAGGCUCGAAAGCGUGGGGAGCAAACAGG